GUCAGCUGAAAGUAUUUGACUGCCUGGGCAGGGAUCUCUUGGACAAUGCAUUUGAAGGAUACAAUGCAUGCAUCUUUGCAUAUGGACAAACUGGAUCAGGUAAAUCUUACACCAUGAUGGGUACAGAGGAUCAGAAGGGGAUAAUCCCUCGCCUCUGUGAUACCCUGUUUGAGAGGAUGGCCAAGGAAGCUAAUGAGGACACCCUUUCCUUCAAGGUCGAGGUCUCCUACAUGGAGAUCUACAAUGAGAAAGUCAGAGAUUUGCUUGAUCCGAAAGGGAACAAACAGAAUCUGAAAGUUAGGGAACACAAGAUUUAUGGUCCAUAUGUGGAUGGCCUAUCUACCCUUGCUGUCUCCUCAUUCGAGGUUGGUAUUGCUUCAGUUGUCUGGCAUUUAUUUAAAAAAUUCCACUUUACCCUUACAUUAUUUGUUCCUUACUCAUUUUGUAGAAUAUCUUCCAAACUUUGCAGUAGAGUAAAAUGAAGAAGAAAAGGUUACUGAUGGUGGUUGGUGCUAAGGCUAAGUCAUGGGGGGGGGGGGGUAUUUUUCUUCUACAAGGUGGGAGGAAAUAAGUCAGAAAAAUCUUGGAACCAGCAGUACACAGGCUGGCCGCAGCUCUACCAUCCGGCCAUUGCUGUAAUUAAUUUGCAGACUUUAAUGGCAAACCUUUUAUGUGGAUGCUUUGAAAAGUGGAAAAUGAUGUUAUUUCACCUUGUAUAUUGUGUAUGUUCAUUUUCAAAUGUUUUUCUCUUGAUAAUCUUUGUUCAAGACAGCCAAUUUUUUUUUCAUUUCUUUUUAUUUUGGGGGGCUACUUUUCGCAACCUACUGCCUAAAUCUGCUACAUUGGAUAAGCUUUAACAUUGCGAUGAAUGGGAAUAUUCCAAAGCUCUUUUUUAAAAUGAAUUUCCAGGGCUCUUUUGAGUGUUUUGGGGGCGUAAUAGCUCCGAGCCCCCUUGUAAUUUUUCCCUGGUUCAAGACUAUUUAUUACUUUUGAGUAAAUGACUGUACAGAGGAUGAUUAGAAUGUGAAAUGGAAAGAAAUUAUUGCUCUCCAGUCUCCUCUUUGAUAUUUUCGUAAACUUUAGAUAUCUAUUGAAGGUUUUAUCUUUGCCACUUGACCUUCUCUAUCCCUGCCAUGGGAUGGAUAAUUUCCUAUGGAGACGGAUUGUUGUUGAGAUCUCCUUACCUCAUUAGCAUGCCGUCUGAAUACCUCCACAUAAUCCCACAGGAGACAUAAUAAACCACAGUAGCUGUAUUCACACUAAAAAUUGUAUUUGGGACACAUACAUGUAUAUGGAUGUUUAAAAGAAAUAUCAGCAUAAGUACCUCUUUAGCAUGUAACGGUUUGUAACCCGAAUAACUCUUUAUAAUCCCACAUAAUAAACCACAGUAGUCGGAUUCAUACCUGAAAUUGGAUUUUGGACAAAUAAGGAUUUUUAAAAUAGAAUAUACAUGUACAGUAUUAUUGCAUGUAUACAUUUAAUUAGCACAUUUACUUGAUUAGUAUAGUGACCAUCUGAAUACCUCCAUAUAUAAUCCCGCAGGAGAUAUCAUAAACCACAGCAGCUGCAUUCACACUUUAAAUUGCAGGGAAUAGUUUUCCUGGUAUCGCAUCACAAUUUGCUCCAUAUUUUUUAAAGACUGCUACAGCAUUUACCAGUUGUGGUAAUGAUCUCAAAAUGAGUUCGAACAGAAUCCAAUAAAAUGGCCACCAAAGUGCAUGUUUGUAUGUAUGAAUAAUCAAGAUGUGCCAAAUUGCUCUGGAAACAAUAUGUAAAUGUCAAGAAAUGAGCAAAAUAAGCAUGGAUUUCCAUAAUAUGCUGGGUAUGUUUCCAAACAAUAUUAAUAUACUGUCAAGAUUAUAUUUAUUUCAAGACUGAUUCGCAGAAUGAGCAGAGUUGUAAAAACUGUUUACAGGUUAAAAAAAAAGCCUGAAUUCAGAAAUAUUUACUGAGAAUUAUAACUAUGAAAAUAGUAUUACCAAAUUAUUUAAAAAAAGAUGAAAGAUGAACUCCCAGAUUGCAGCAACUCCAUUUUUACACAACUGCCUUCUAGCAAGUAAAAUCCAUAGUCAUACACCUAGGGAUGCCUAUGCAGUUCCAUAGAUGAGAUUGAUUGGAUCAGUCACAAUUCUUCAUAAGACAGGGCCCAGAUGUGUGUCUUUACCUUAUUAGGCUGAAGCAUAGCAUGCUGUAUAAUAAUAAGUAUCAGUAUGAAAUCCCAGGAGAUUAGCAGAGCUGCCAAGUAUCCCAUAAUUUAGAUGAAAUCUAAUAUGAAGGAAAUGAUACUUUGUCGUAUUGAUGAGAGUACUGUCAACAAAUCCCAUUUUCUUUUAUUCAUCAUUCUCGAAAAUUGAAUUAUCCCCCAGUAUAUUGUCUACAAAAUAAAAAUAAGUACAACAUUUUCAUUCUUUGAAAACUGCAAUUGGAAAAAGUAUCGUCUCAACUUAGUGGAAAUAAUUGAAUGACUAAAAAAUCAGGAAUAGACAUUGUUUCAUUGAACUAGAGAAUAAAAAUAGACAGCAAAUGGUCAAAGGGCCUCUUGUUUCACAUGUAAGUUUUGUCAGGCUAUAUUGUCUAUUAAAGGUUUUGUUUCAUGGAAAAUGUCCCAGAAAAUCUCUGACCUUUAUUGAGCACAGUUUGAGUAUAGAGCUCUAUGGUUUGAGUAGCACACUUGACAGCACUGAUGCUUUUGCUUUUUAUGCUCUUUUGGUGGCUAUAUUGCAUAAAUUUUAACAUACUUCUGCUUGUUGUAAAUGUCAGUUUAAAAUCGCUAUCCCUCACAUGUGUCCUUCCUUUUAUCAGUUUAAGAGAUGAACAUACAUGUGGGUAAUGCAUAGAUCAUUGAAGAGUAAAUAUGUAUUAGGGAUUAAUAUGCAGCCCUUCAAGUUUAUAAUUUCUUGGAGCUCAAUAAAUCGCUCUUCUCAAAUUGACGAUAUAGAUUUAUAGCAAUAUGCUAGCGAUAGCUCGCACUAUUAUGCUUCUGAUAAGGAAGAAUGAAGUUCAUCAAAUUCAAACAGGAUUGGUACUUACAGGAAUCCUAUUCAUAAUUUUCAAUUUUUUUAUAAUAAAUAACUCACUUGAAAAUAUAUAUUUUUUGAUAUAUUCAAUGCAUUGCCACUGGAUAACUAGCCAGAAAAUUAUUCAUUUCACAUGUCGCACCAGCACAGUCAAUGACAUCACAGCAACACAAGCACAGUCAAUCACCGCAACUCGCAUCGAUCACAUCAACAGGCGCUAUCACUCACCCAAAUCCCUGCUAAAAUACAAAUUACGUCCUUAAAGUUGCUUUAUCUGCACCAUAUUUCCAAAGCAUGCAUGCAGUCUCUGAAAAUGCAGUAAAAAUUAAGAAAUGUGUGAUUUUUUCUGAGAUGGUAAACUUUAUUUUGCUAAUUUAGGAUUGUAUUUUCAAAAUUACC